CCGUCUCUAGCACAGCUGGCGUCGGCGCGCCGGGUUCGGCAUCCGGCAGGCGGCGCAGCAGCAGCCGUUCGGUCGCUUCCGCUGAUUUGGUC
rnacentral:tRNA from 1 species